ensembl:lncRNA
AUUUCCAGGCUGUGUGAAGCUGGCUUGCAGAGGCAGGGCUGCUGGGGGUAGGCGAGUUUGAUAAGGAGGGCGGAGGGGUUGAGUGACUCACACCUCCUGGGCUCUCUUUGCCGAGGCUCCUCCUGACUGUUCUCUUCACCUCUGAGUCACUGAUUGGUCCCAUCACUGACUUUCAAUCAACACAGUGCUGCUUCUGUUCACAAAGAACAGGAUCUGUCAACACUCCUACUACUUGCAAAGAGCUGGAGAAGAGCUUUUGCCGUUACUCCCUCACCGUGGCAGAAGUGACUUACCUGAUGGAUGACAUUAAAAGAAUUGGCCUUUUCUCUGGCUUACCAGCAUGGAGGCAGCCUAUUUUUUCCCGCCUACCUCUCCUUCUAGGUGCUCCACAAGCUACAUUAGGUGCUGGAAAUGGACCAGAUGCUGGAGAUGGAAAGCAUCCCUGUCUUGAAGAGCUCACAUUGGUCAUCAAUGCCUAAAGAAAAAAGAUCCAUAAUGAUCCCCACCAGAUUAUUGAUGACAGAGACCUCUGGAGAUGGGAGUGGAGGUGGUUUCUCUGCUCUCUCAUUUUGCCUGAAGGCCUGUUAUAAGCUAUAGGCCAGAAACUAGGUCUUCUGAAAUUAACAACAGAGAAGAAGAGCCUCCGAGCCCUGGGAGGAAGGACUGUAUCAGAUACUCUAAUUAUUGAUACUGCAAGAAAUACACUCACGGCUGCAGGUUUCCCAGAGAAGCUAAUCUUACCACUGUGGGUGGAGACCUGUCAGACUGUACCUGGGGCAUCGUUCGGAACUUCCAGGACUCCUGUAACCCAGCAGUAGAAGACUUUGUGAAAGCAGACAGCUGAUCCAAGGUCUGACAAAACAAGAAUUGAUUAUGUGGAUGAUGAGGGAAAUAUUGUCUUUGUUGGCAUUGUCUUUAAUGUUCUAUCUUUGAAGGGCAUACAAAGAAGCUCUUUGCCUGUAUUCUUGGGGCAUCUGUAGCUGGCUAUAUUUGAGCAAAGUGGAAUGUAAUACUGUCUGAACGGUGCCUCAUUCCAAUUGACCUCCCAGAAUUCAUGAAAGGCAGUCUAAGGAAAUCUUAAUAGAGGUAACAAACUAAUGAGUCACAAAGGAAUGUAUACACUUUAAAUAAGGUCACAAAGGAAUGUAUAUACCUUAAAUAAUGUCAUCCAACUGGUAGACUACCUUAUAGCAUUCUUGUGAGGAUUAACCUAAUAAUCUGUGAAAAAGGUUUACUGCAGUGCCUGGCCUGAAGUAGUGGCUCAAUAAAGGUUAUUUUUUAAGGUUA